rnacentral:lncRNA from 1 species
AUGUCUUUGCUCACGAGACGCCCCAGGACACUGGCAGGUGGACUCAGUGGGCAGGGAAGCAUCAGGAAGGGGCCCCUGCAGCCUGUUUCUGCUCAGCAGUGUCCACGUGCUGGAGGCCAGCAAGAAGGCCCUUUGUGGGGUGUAGCCACAGAGCAGGCUGGCCCUUCUGGUGGCAUCCCUGCUGUCUGCCCGAGGGCAGCAGGAGCCGAGGCCCUUCAGUUCCAUCCACAACACGUGCAGGGCUCUAGAACUCAGUCAUCUUCUUGUGAGUGUCGGCCUUCCUCUGUUCCCGCUGCAAGCCUGCCUCCUGGGCCCGGAGCUGCCCCAGCUGCCGCUGGGCCCCUGCCUGCUGCUCCUGCCGCAGGCCCCUCUGGAAUCUACAGAACAAAACCCAGGCCCCUUGGGGGGCGGGCCCCCCCCCCCCCCCGGGCCUCACUUUCCUGACCGUCAACGCCCCUUUUCCUGCCCUGAGGUCUCUGCAAACCCAGCCUUUCCCAUGCUGUGUGCGUUCCUGGGUCUGCUCUCCAAGGUCCAGUUCAGGCCACCUCUAAGGCAGUCCUAGAUGCCUCCCUGCUCACCCAAGGGCCUGGAGUCUACAGCUUCUGUUGGAAUGCCUGGUUCAUCUAGAGGUCAGGAGCACAAGGUCCUUGGGGACUGGGCUUUAUAACAGAGAGCCUGGCAAGAGCUCCUGUCUCCCCAGCUCCAAGGUGUCCAGUCCAGGUCAGCCGGUUAAAAUUCAGCUGGGGCCAGGGAGAGCUGGGGGCUCUGGUCAGGCGGUGUGAUUGCCUGGUUCCGCCCUCCCAGAGGGGUCCUGCUUCCCCCGCCAGGCCCCCGGUGGCCGCAGGAGCGGGAAGGGCUGGUCUCAGCGGCCCAGGCCGGUCCUCCCUCGUCUCUUUCCCCCCUCCUCCCCUCCCCUCCCUUCCC